GGGGAUUUAGCUCAGCGGUAGAGCGCUUGCCUAGCAAGUGCAAGGCCCUGGGUUCGGUUCCCAGCUCCG
rnacentral:tRNA from 1 species